rnacentral:rRNA from 1 species
UGGGGAAUAUUGGACAAUGGGCGCAAGCCUGAUCCAGCCAUACCGCGUGGGUGAAGAAGGCCUUCGGGUUGUAAAGCCCUAUUGUUGGGAAAGAAAUCCAGCUGGCUAAUACCCGGUUGGGAUGACGGUACCCAAAGAAUAAGCACCGGCUAACUUCGUGCCAGCAGCCGCGGUAAUACGAAGGGUGCAAGCGUUACUCGGAAUUACUGGGCGUAAAGCGUGCGUAGGUGGUCGUUUAAGUCCGUUGUGAAAGCCCUGGGCUCAACCUGGGAACUGCAGUGGAUACUGGGCGACUAGAAUGUGGUAGAGGGUAGCGGAAUUCCUGGUGUAGCAGUGAAAUGCGUAGAGAUCAGGAGGAACAUCCAUGGCGAAGGCAGCUACCUGGACCAACAUUGACACUGAGGCACGAAAGCGUGGGGAGCAAACA